rnacentral:rRNA from 1 species
AUACGGAGGAUCCGAGCGUUAUCCGGAUUUAUUGGGUUUAAAGGGUGCGCAGGCGGCCAUUUAAGUCAGCGGUUAAAUCGUGGGGCUCAACCCCAUUCUGCCGUUGAUACUGGGUGGCUUGAUUGCGGUCGAGGUUGGCGCAAUUCGUUGUGUAGCGGUGAAAUGCAUAGAUAUGACGAAGAACACCGAUUGCGUAGGCAGCUGACCAGACCGCAAAUGACGCUCAUGCACGAAAGUGCGGGGAUCGAACAGGAUUAGAUACCCUGGUAGUCCGCACAGUAAACGAUGAAUACUUGUUUUCGGCGAUAUAAUGUCGGAGGCAAAGCGAAAGCGAUAAGUAUUCCACCUGGGGAGUACGCCGCCAACGGUGAAACUUAAAGGAAUUGACGGGG